rnacentral:rRNA from 1 species
GUUUGAUCCUGGCUCAGAGCGAACGUUAGCGGCAGGCUUAACACAUGCAAGUCGAGCGACAAAGGGGCUUCGGCCCUGAGUAGAGCGGCGGACGGGUGCGUAACACGUGGAUAAUCUGCCUCGUGGCGGGGGAUAACAGUCCGAAAGGACUGCUAAUACCGCAUGUCAGGUCGGAAACCCCGGUUUCUGACGAAAAAGAGGGCGCCCGCAAGGGGCUCUCACCACGAGAUGAGUCCGCGGCCCAUCAGCUAGUUGGCGGUGUAAUAGACCACCAAGGCUAAGACGGGUAGCUGGUCUGAGAGGAUGACCAGCCACACUGGGACUGAGACACGGCCCAGACUCCUACGGGAGGCAGCAGUGGGGAAUAUUGGACAAUGGGCGAAAGCCUGAUCCAGCCAUGCCGCGUGAGUGAUGAAGGUACUUCGGAUCGUAAAGCUCUGUGGGAAGGGAC